rnacentral:rRNA from 1 species
CCUACGGGUGGCUGCAGUGAGGAAUAUUGGUCAAUGGGCGAGAGCCUGAACCAGCCAAGUCGCGUGCAGGAUGCAGGAUCUAUGGUUUGUAAACUUCUUUUAUAUGGGAAUAAAGUGAGGAACGUGUUCCUUUUUGUAUGUACCAUAUGAAUAAGCAUCGGCUAACUCCGUGCCAGCAGCCGCGGUAAUACGGAGGAUGCGAGCGUUCUCCGGAUUUAUUGGGUUUAAAGGGUGCGCAGGCGGAAGGUAAAGUCAGCGGUAAAAUUGAGGGGCUCAACCGCGUAGAGCCGUUGAAACUGGUUGUCUUGAGUGAGCGAGAAGUAUGCGGAAUGCGUGGUGUAGCGGUGAAAUGCAUAGAUAUCACGCAGAACUCCGAUUGCGAAGGCAGCAUACCGGCGCUCAACUGACGCUCAUGCACGAAAGUGUGGGUAUCGAACAGGAUUAGAUACCCCAGUAGUC